UUAGGUAACUAUCUACUAAACACAUACACAUUUAUAUACACGCACACACAGACUCUGUGUCUCUGUGUGUAUAUAUUUGUGGUUGAGUGUGUAUAUGUAAAUACAUACACAAUUAGAGACACACCCACACAUAUUCACAGACCCAAACACAUUCACAGACCCCCAAGCACACAUUCAAUCACAGACCCACACACACACAUUUAGUAAUUAAGAGUAUCACCCACCCCCCUUACCUUGCUCUGGGAGGGCUGGAGUGGAUCCUCUUCCUGGUGGCCAGUGGUUGCCGUGAUCUUCCUGCACAGGUCCCUCAGGAAGAUCAUUCUCUCCUAACAUCUACAAUAACUGCAGAUCAACAUAUUUCAUGUAGGGAGGCAUGUCUACAGAAUUGGUUAAAUAAAUAAUAUUUAUGAAAAAGAGUUAC